AUGAAAGAAAGUUUCUCCAUAAGGUAGGAACCCAGAUGGCGGCUUCUCGUUGGACGAAGUUGAUUCUAAAUAAAGCAAAUUUCCAGUAUCAGCAAGUGAAUCACCAAAACUGAUUAUGGAUUUGUAGCAUCCACAUGCAUAUUUGCUUGCUGAUAAUAGAAAGAGGACUGCACAUGCAAAUGCAUUUUUUAAUGGCGAAAUAUUUGAAGCCAUGGCUGAGACAAAAAGCAGACUUUCUUAAUAAUUAUGGGCCUGUGGGAAUAUAUAUAAUGGACUGAGUAAAAGGAAAGCUGGGUAGGUUGGAGAUGGAUUGAGAUCAGUGGUUUUGAUUUUUAUUUUUUUAACAUAACUAAAUCAAUAUUCCAUGGACUCCAAAAAGCAGAGACAAGCAACCUAUAAAAUAUAUUUUUCAAUGUUAGAGAUUUAACUCUCAGGACAGAGUAUAUAUAGAAAAAUAAAUUUCGAGUCACGCAAAUCAAAAAUAAAGCAAAUUUCCAGUAUCAGCAAGUGAAUCACCAAAACUGAUUAUGGAUUUGUAGCAUCCACAUGCAUAGUUGCUUGCUGAUAAUAGAAAGAGGACUGCACAUGAAAAUGCAGUUUUUAAUGGUGAAAUAUUUGAAGCCAUGGCCGAGACGCUUAGGAUUUAUGUGGUUGUGGGGAUAUAUAUAACUGAGUAAAAUGAAAGAUGAGUAGGUUGGAGGUGGAUUGAGAUAAGUGGUCCUAUGUUUUUUCCUUUUCUUUCUUUCUUUCUUU
rnacentral:lncRNA from 1 species